UUUGAAAUCUGGCCCCCGGGUCCGAGUUGUAAUUUGUAGAGGAUGCUUUUGGUGCGGUGCCUUCCGAGUUCCCUGGAACGGGACGCCAUAGAGGGUGAGAGCCCCGUCUGGUUGGACACCAAGCCUCUGUAAAGCUCCUUCGACGAGUCGAGUAGUUUGGGAAUGCUGCUCUAAAUGGGAGGUAUAUGUCUUCUAAAGCUAAAUACCGGCCAGAGACCGAUAGCGCACAAGUAGAGUGAUCGAAAGAUGAAAAGCACUUUGAAAAGAGGGUUAAAUAGUACGUGAAAUUGUUGAAAGGGAAGCGCUUGUGACCAGACUUGAGCCCGGUUAAUCAUCCAGCCUUCUGGCUGGUGCACUUGGCCGGCUCAGGCCAGCAUCAGUUCGGCGCGGGGGAUAAAGGCUUCGGGAAUGUGGCUCCUCCGGGAGUGUUAUAGCCCGUUGUGUAAUACCCUGUACUGGACUGAGGUUCGCGCAUCUGCAAGGAUGCUGGCGUAAUGGUCAUCAGCGACCCGUCUUGAAACACGGACCAAGGAGUCGUCUUCGUAUGCGAGUGUUCGGGUGUCAAACCCCUACGCGUAAUGAAAGUGAACGCAGGUGAGAGCUUCGGCGCAUCAUCGACCGAUCCUGAUGUUCUCGGAUGGAUUUGAGUAAGAGCAUACGGGGCCGGACCCGAAAGAAGGUGAACUAUGCCUGUAUAGGGUGAAGCCAGAGGAAACUCUGGUGGAGGCUCGCAGCGGUUCUGACGUGCAAAUCGAUCGUCAAAUAUGGGCAUGGGGGCGAAAGACUAAUCGAACCUUCUAGUAGCUGGGUUUCCGCCGAAGUUUCCCUCAGGAUAGCAGUGUUGAACUCAGUUUUAUGAGGUAAAGCGAAUGAUUAGGGACUCGGGGGCGCUAUUUAGCCUUCAUCCAUUCUCAAACUUUAAAUAUGUAAGAAGCCCUUGUUACUUAAUUGAACGUGGGCAUUCGAAUGUAUCAACACUAGUGGGCCAUUUUUGGUAAGCAGAACUGGCGAUGCGGGAUGAACCGAACGCGAGGUUAAGGUGCCAGAGUAGACGCUCAUCAGACACCACAAAAGGUGUUAGUACAUCUUGACAGCAGGACGGUGGCCAUGGAAGUCGGAAUCCGCUAAGGACUGUGUAACAACUCACCUGCCGAAUGUACUAGCCCUGAAAAUGGAUGGCGCUCAAGCGUCUCACCCAUACCUCGCCCUCAGGGUAGAAACGAUGCCCUGAGGAGUA
rnacentral:rRNA from 1 species